rnacentral:siRNA from 1 species
CCGUGGCCGACGACAUCAUCC